CCCCCUUCUACCUCAUGAAUCUGCGUCCUCUGGCUCCUUCUUCCCAUUCAACUAAUCUUUUCUCUCUCAUCCAAGCAUCUCAACAUCAUCUGGUAUCCAUUGCCCACAUUUGAAAAAUUAGGAGCCACCAGUGUUCACCGCCUCUACCACGGUUUACGAUUACGAGAAGUGAGCACCGCGAUACGACCACAAUCUGGGCUUUCCGAAUGAAAACAAGUCGUCUGCGAUGCUGCUAAGAUCCAUGGUGUUUCUGAUCUUCAAUUCAAUUCAUCCAAUGAAGGAAUUCUGGAGUGGCGCAUAUAGUAUUAAUUGGUAUGCAUCAAAUCAUACUCGCCUUUUGAUGGUCUUGUCUUCGAUUUCGAUGAUACUUUGAACACUUCAAGCAUUGGAUUCGGUGAUCCCACUGGGCGUAACAUCAACGGUACGAUUUCAUACUUACACAUAAACCAAAUCAUUAGAUGAAAACUAAAUUCUACCGGUUAAUUUGUUUAUUGUUGAUACGAAAUGGGUAAUCUUUAGUUGGGAUCUUUAUAACAAUAUGAGACAUAUUAAGAUAAGAGGCUAAAGCAUAGUGGCUGGAGUGAUGGAGUAUUAGUAAAAGUAAAUCAGAAAAUAAUAUCAUAUUGUAAUUUAUUUGGAAAUUUAUGUCUUUUUUGUGCAUCAAACGAGCUACAAAGAUUGCAUUAUCAAUGUAGACACCAUGUUCAAUUUUCAGUUUUGUUCUUCCAAAAUAAUGUUCAGAAAUCAUAUGUGCUGGCAAUAUUUUUGGUUCAAAAGAUAAAUAUCUAAUUUCAAUAUGGGGAAACAUCACUGAAGAUUACGAAGUUGUAUGCAUUAAAAAUACACGUGGAAAACUUUUGACCCCCUUUGGCCCGUAUCAUUUGUAUCUAAAGUUCUUAAAUUUUCCCCAUUUGACCCGUUACCUAUUUUAAUACAACUCGAACUGACCUGCUCAUAUGUAACUGGGUGGAAAUUGUGAUCCCUAGCUAACCGCAUCUCAGUUUUUCCUUAUGCAUUUGUAGAUUUUCUGUAGCUUAGAAAGGGAUGUGCAUUUGAUGGGUGGAAAGAAGGUGCUUUAACUUUCCACCAACUUACAAAUACGAGCCAAAAUUAUAUAAAUACUAUGGCUAGGAUCCUAAAGUUGGUAGGCGUACUCCCGCAUGGUUGCAUUGAUAGUAAUAGACUAAUAGCUGAUGGGUUCACAUGCUGAAAUACGAUAUCUGUGGAGCCGAAGCCAGUAAAGAAAGGCUCACAGUUUAACCUCGACAACGAUCUAUUUCUCCCUAAAGAAAGGAAAGACAUCAUCGUGUCAACUGUGUGUUGAAGUGCCAUGGCUGCUUAGCAAUAAAGCUACAACAAUUAUGGCAUCCCUUAUUGGGCCAGUUAAAAAAAUUAUCUUCUUUAAAAAAUUAUGGCAUCCCUUAUUGUGAUAAGAUGAUAUUGCAAGUCAUAUGUGAUGAAAUAGUUAACUCGAGAUAGCCACAUACAUAAAGAAAGUGACGUGACGUAUAGUUUGGAUCUCUAUAGCGGGAUCACGGGUUGUUCAUACACAACGGGAUUACAAACAGUAGUUAUUAAGCAUUGUAUAUCUAGAGUUGUGACGGAUUUAUUUACGAGACUGACAUGAUAUGUGGAUGGAACAGAUGAAGAAUUUAGAAAGCACAGUUGAGAGAGUGAAGGGGUUGCUAGAAGCAAGGAUAAAAAGGAAGACGGACACACGUGAGAGCAAAGGGUUUAGAGGGUUGUAAGCUAUAACAUUCUGCUUUAUAUAUUUGAUUAAUUUAAGUGUUGGCU
rnacentral:lncRNA from 1 species